UCUCCGUUGGUGAACCAGCGGAGGGAUCAUUAUCGAGUUUAUAACUCCCAUACCCUAUGUGAACUUACCACUUGUUGCUUCGGCGCGCGCUUCGGUGCCGCCGAGGACACUUAAACUCUUUGUUUUUAUAAGCAUUUCUGAGUGGCCGAAAGGCAAAAUACAAAUGAAUCAAAACUUUCAACAACGGAUCUCUUGGUUCUG
rnacentral:misc_RNA from 1 species